GAAUACCCAAAUCUCCAUCUCCACCGCCACCCGCUCGAUCCACACCACCACCGCCGCCCCUGCCUGGGAAUAAGGCUGCCAGAGUUCCUGUUGGACCCGGAGGCGGCGGCCCUUGACGACAUCGUUGACCUGCCAUCUGCAGGGACGCACACGAUGCCAAUCCACGGAUCCUCGUGUUUGUGGAAAUCACGAUCCAGCACCACCGCCGCUAGGGAUCGCCCCCCGCCACCUCCUGACUGUAUGCCACGGCUCGAACGCGCCGAAUGCAAUCUGUCCGCCGCCGCUCGCUGGUUCAUACCUUGCCCGCUGCCUCUGUACCUGCUCGGUCUUCGUCUGAACUCGGCCUGGAGGUCGCCUGAUUGAGCGACGCGCCCACGACCUCGUACGUAUCAGGUGCUAAUUAGGUACGUCGCAGUUUAUUUUUACCAAGAAAGAGGGAGAGGAUGGGGAUGACGGCGUGGUUGAUCCGGCAGCCGUCUCGCUUGUAUGUUCCCGAGGCACCGCGUAACUUCUUUCCAGACCUAGCCAAGAGAGAAGAUGAGGCAGCGGGAAAUUGAUGUGUAUCUUGAGGACAAGGAAUUGUAGAACUUGAAGCGGAUUCAGGGGAAGUUCGUCAUCCACCAUAAGUGGCUUCAGUCUGAAUAUGAUUUGUCUUGAUGCAAACAACAGGUGGCCUUAUGAUAUGACCUAUUCCAGGGAUGUGGGAGGCCAUGGUGCAACCUCUUCGCAUUGUGGAAAAUUCUAUGUCAUUCACAGUGGAAUUGAUCCGAUACCAAGUAACAAAGAGUUUUCUUCACAGCUCUUUAUUUUAUGCUGCUUCAGUUCCAUUGUACUCAUGAGAAUAUUGUCGAAAGAAAGAUUACUGCAGAAUGGGCAUUGCAUCGGAAGCUUGGAUUACAGCAAAUUGAAGACACUUAUCAUCAGAAUCAUCACCUAUUUCAAAGCCCAGAAUGGAUCCACUUCAUCAAACACGCAACGAUAGCCAGGUCAGUCGCUUUUGAGUGAUAAACUUCUAAUGUUUCAGUAGAAAAAUGCUUCCUUUUGUAAGGUUAUUUUAUUCUCUUCAAAACAAUAAAACUGACAAUGUCGUAUUUUCUUUCGAGGUGACUAUUCUUGGUUGACCUCCAGAGCAUCCAAUACAAUUUGAUUUCUUCUUUGGUAAAACUUGUUCUAACCUAAUAUGAGCCUCCUUAGCUCCACAACAUCCUACACUAUCUAGCCCACCAUUAUAAAGGAAUCAGAGACUUGCCUGAUAUUUAUGCUGCAUAGAUGCGCUGUCUCCAACUUCAUUCUUCUUCCAUUUAUGUGUGAACCUUGAGGCUUUGGUAUCCAUUACCUCAACCUGUUGCUAUGCAUUAUUGGAUCAGUAUCUUUCAUUUGGAAAAUGUUCCCUCCAGUUGCAAAUAAUUCUCCAAAAAUAGAUGUAUCUAGACAUGUUUUAGUGAGUAGAUAUGUCUAUUUUUUGGCAACUAUUUUGAACCGGUUGGAGUAGUAGACUAGAAGUGACUGUUUUAGGAUGACGAGGUGGAUAAGAUGUGUAUGUGGAAGAAACGAUCCA